rnacentral:rRNA from 1 species
UACGGAGGGUGCAAGCGUUAUCCGGAUUUACUGGGUUUAAAGGGUGUGUAGGCGGGCUUUUAAGUCAGUGGUGAAAUCUCCGGGCUCAACCUGGAAACUGCCAUUGAUACUAUUAGUCUUGAAUUUUGUUGAGGUAGGCGGAAUAAGUCAUGUAGCGGUGAAAUGCAUAGAUAUGACUUAGAACACCAAUUGCGAAGGCAGCUUGCUAAACAAAUAUUGACGCUGAGGCACGAAAGCGUGGGGAUCAAACAGGAUUAGAUACCCUGGUAGUCCACGCCCUAAACGAUGAUUACUCGACAUACGCGAUACACAGUGUGUGUCUGAGCGAAAGCAUUAAGUAAUCCACCUGGGAAGUACGACCGCAAGGUUGAA